UACGUAGGGUGCGAGCGUUAAUCGGAAUUACUGGGCGUAAAGGGUGCGUAGGCGGUUGUGUAAGUCUGUCGUGAAAUCCCCGGGCUUAACCUGGGAAUUGCGAUGGAGACUGCAAGGCUAGAAUCUGGCAGAGGGGGGUAGAAUUCCACGUGUAGCAGUGAAAUGCGUAGAGAUGUGGAGGAACACCGAUGGCGAAGGCAGCCCCCUGGGUCAAGAUUGACGCUCAUGCACGAAAGCGUGGGGAGCAAACAGG
rnacentral:rRNA from 1 species